rnacentral:rRNA from 1 species
CAGGGAAUUUUGCGCAAUGGGCGAAAGCCUGUCGCAGCGACGCCGCGUGGGCGAUGAAGGCCUUCGGGUUGUAAAGCCCUUUUCUGGGGGAAGAGAGAGGACGGUACCUCAGGAAUAAGCGUCGGCUAACUACGUGCCAGCAGCCGCGGUAAUACGUAGGACGCGAGCGUUAUCCGGAUUCACUGGGCGUAAAGCGCCUGCAGGCGGUUUCGUAAGUUGGGUGUGAAAGCCCCAGGCUUAACCUGGGGAGGCCAUUCAAUACUGCGGAGCUUGAGGUCGGGAGAGGGAAGCGGAAUUCCCGGGGUAGCGGUAAAAUGCGCAGAUAUCGGGGGGAACACCAGUGGCGAAGGCGGCUUCCUGGCCCGUUCCUGACGCUCGGAGGCGAAAGCUAGGGGAGCAAACAG